GGGUUGUGAGGUUAAGCGACUAAGCGUACACGGUGGAUGCCCUGGCAGUCAGAGGCGAUGAAGGACGUGCUAAUCUGCGAUAAGCGUCGGUAAGGUGAUAUGAACCGUUAUAACCGGCGAUUUCCGAAUGGGGAAACCCAGUGUGAUUCGUCACACUAUCAUUAACUGAAUCCAUAGGUUAAUGAGGCGAACCGGGGGAACUGAAACAUCUAAGUACCCCGAGGAAAAGAAAUCAACCGAGAUUCCCCCAGUAGCGGCGAGCGAACGGGGAGCAGCCCAGAGCCUGAAUCAGUGUGUGUGUUAGUGGAAGCGUCUGGAAAGGCGCGCGAUACAGGGUGACAGCCCCGUACACAAAAAUGCACAUAUUGUGAGCUCGAUGAGUAGGGCGGGACACGUGGUAUCCUGUCUGAAUAUGGGGGCCCAUCCUCCAAGGCUAAAUACUCCUGACUGACCGAUAGUGAACCAGUACCGUGAGGGAAAGGCGAAAAGAACCCCGGCGAGGGGAGUGAAAAAGAACCUGAAACCGUGUACGUACAAGCAGUGGGAGCACGCUUAGGCGUGUGACUGCGUACCUUUUGUAUAAUGGGUCAGCGACUUAUAUUCUGUAGCAAGGUUAACCGAAUAGGGGAGCCGAAGGGAAACCGAGUCUUAACUGGGCGUUAAGUUGCAGGGUAUAGACCCGAAACCCGGUGAUCUAGCCAUGGGCAGGUUGAAGGUUGGGUAACACUAACUGGAGGACCGAACCGACUAAUGUUGAAAAAUUAGCGGAUGACUUGUGGCUGGGGGUGAAAGGCCAAUCAAACCGGGAGAUAGCUGGUUCUCCCCGAAAGCUAUUUAGGUAGCGCCUCGUGAAUUCAUCUCCGGGGGUAGAGCACUGUUUCGGCAAGGGGGUCAUCCCGACUUACCAACCCGAUGCAAACUGCGAAUACCGGAGAAUGUUAUCACGGGAGACACACGGCGGGUGCUAACGUCCGUCGUGAAGAGGGAAACAACCCAGACCGCCAGCUAAGGUCCCAAAGUCAUGGUUAAGUGGGAAACGAUGUGGGAAGGCCCAGACAGCCAGGAUGUUGGCUUAGAAGCAGCCAUCAUUUAAAGAAAGCGUAAUAGCUCACUGGUCGAGUCGGCCUGCGCGGAAGAUGUAACGGGGCUAAACCAUGCACCGAAGCUGCGGCAGCGACGCUUAUGCGUUGUUGGGUAGGGGAGCGUUCUGUAAGCCUGCGAAGGUGUGCUGUGAGGCAUGCUGGAGGUAUCAGAAGUGCGAAUGCUGACAUAAGUAACGAUAAAGCGGGUGAAAAGCCCGCUCGCCGGAAGACCAAGGGUUCCUGUCCAACGUUAAUCGGGGCAGGGUGAGUCGACCCCUAAGGCGAGGCCGAAAGGCGUAGUCGAUGGGAAACAGGUUAAUAUUCCUGUACUUGGUGUUACUGCGAAGGGGGGGACGGAGAAGGCUAUGUUGGCCGGGCGACGGUUGUCCCGGUUUAAGCGUGUAGGCUGGUUUUCCAGGCAAAUCCGGAAAAUCAAGGCUGAGGCGUGAUGACGAGGCACUACGGUGCUGAAGCAACAAAUGCCCUGCUUCCAGGAAAAGCCUCUAAGCAUCAGGUAACAUCAAAUCGUACCCCAAACCGACACAGGUGGUCAGGUAGAGAAUACCAAGGCGCUUGAGAGAACUCGGGUGAAGGAACUAGGCAAAAUGGUGCCGUAACUUCGGGAGAAGGCACGCUGAUAUGUAGGUGAAGUCCCUUGCGGAUGGAGCUGAAAUCAGUCGAAGAUACCAGCUGGCUGCAACUGUUUAUUAAAAACACAGCACUGUGCAAACACGAAAGUGGACGUAUACGGUGUGACGCCUGCCCGGUGCCGGAAGGUUAAUUGAUGGGGUCAGCGCAAGCGAAGCUCUUGAUCGAAGCCCCGGUAAACGGCGGCCGUAACUAUAACGGUCCUAAGGUAGCGAAAUUCCUUGUCGGGUAAGUUCCGACCUGCACGAAUGGCGUAAUGAUGGCCAGGCUGUCUCCACCCGAGACUCAGUGAAAUUGAACUCGCUGUGAAGAUGCAGUGUACCCGCGGCAAGACGGAAAGACCCCGUGAACCUUUACUAUAGCUUGACACUGAACAUUGAGCCUUGAUGUGUAGGAUAGGUGGGAGGCUUUGAAGUGUGGACGCCAGUCUGCAUGGAGCCGGCCUUGAAAUACCACCCUUUAAUGUUUGAUGUUCUAACGUGGACCCGUGAUCCGGGUUGCGGACAGUGUCUGGUGGGUAGUUUGACUGGGGCGGUCUCCUCCUAAAGAGUAACGGAGGAGCACGAAGGUUGGCUAAUCCUGGUCGGACAUCAGGAGGUUAGUGCAAUGGCAUAAGCCAGCUUGACUGCGAGCGUGACGGCGCGAGCAGGUGCGAAAGCAGGUCAUAGUGAUCCGGUGGUUCUGAAUGGAAGGGCCAUCGCUCAACGGAUAAAAGGUACUCCGGGGAUAACAGGCUGAUACCGCCCAAGAGUUCAUAUCGACGGCGGUGUUUGGCACCUCGAUGUCGGCUCAUCACAUCCUGGGGCUGAAGUAGGUCCCAAGGGUAUGGCUGUUCGCCAUUUAAAGUGGUACGCGAGCUGGGUUUAGAACGUCGUGAGACAGUUCGGUCCCUAUCUGCCGUGGGCGCUGGAGAACUGAGGGGGGCUGCUCCUAGUACGAGAGGACCGGAGUGGACGCAUCACUGGUGUUCGGGUUGUCAUGCCAAUGGCACUGCCCGGUAGCUAAAUGCGGAAGAGAUAAGUGCUGAAAGCAUCUAAGCACGAAACUUGCCCCGAGAUGAGUUCUCCCUGACCCUUUAAGGGUCCUGAAGGAACGUUGAAGACGACGACGUUGAUAGGCCGGGUGUGUAAGCGCAGCGAUGCGUUGAGCUAACCGGUACUAAUGAACCGUGAGGCUUAACCUUACAACGCCGAAG
rnacentral:rRNA from 1 species